AGAAUAUUGCACAAUGGACGAAAGUCUGAUGCAGCGACACCGCGUGAGGGAUGAAGGUUUUAGGAUCGUAAACCUCUUUUAUUAGGGAAUAGUAAGGAAGGUACCUAAUGAAUAAGGUACGGCUAACUACGUGCCAGCAGCCGCGGUAAUACGUAGGUACCGAACGUUGUCCGGAAUCACUGGGCGUAAAGGGUCCGUAGGCGGUUUGAUAAGUCUCAUAUGAAAACUUCAAGCUUAACUUGGAGAGGUUGUGAGAUACUGUCAAACUAGAGACUGUUAGAGGUAAGUGGAAUUCCAGGUGUAGUGGUGAAAUGCGUAGAUAUCUGGAGGAACACCAGUGGCGAAAGCGACUUACUGGGACAGUUCUGACGCUAAGGGACGAAAGCGUGGGGAGCGAACCGGAUUAGAUACCCGGGUAGUCCACGCCGUAAACGAUGAUUGCUAGGUUUUCGGGGCAUCGACCCCUUGUGAGCCGAAGUUAACGCGUUAAGCAAUCCGCCUGAGUAGUACGGCCGCAAGGCUAAAACUCAAAGGAAUUGACGGGGGACCGCACAAGCAGCGGAGCGUGUGGUUUAAUUCGAUGGUAAGCGAAGAACCUUACCAGGGUUUGACAUGUAAGUAGUACUGAACCGAAAGGGGAUGGACCCGCAAGGGAGCUUACACAGGUGUUGCAUGGUUGUCGUCAGCUCGUGCCGUGAGGUGUUGGGUUAAGUCCCGCAACGAGCGCAACCCUCUUUGUUAGUUGCACUCUCUAACGAUACUGCCCUUAAAAGGGAGGAAGGUGGGGAUGACGUCAAAUCAUCAUGGCUCUUACACCCUGGGCUACACACACGCUACAAUGGCAAGUACAGACGGUCGCCAACCCGCGAGGGGGAGCCAAUCCGAUAAAACUUGUCUCAGUUGGGAUUGUAGGCUGAAAUUCGCCUACAUGAACGUGGAGUUGCUAGUAAACGCAGGUCAGCACACUGCGUUGAAUACGUUCCCGG
rnacentral:rRNA from 1 species